rnacentral:rRNA from 1 species
AAAUGACUCUCGGCAACGGAUAUCUUGGCUCUUGCAUCGAUGAAGAACGUAGCAAAAUGCGAUACGUGGUGUGAAUUGCAGAAUUCUGUGAACCAUCGAGUUUUUGAACGCAAGUUGCGCUCAAUGUCAUUUGGCUGAGGGCACGUCUGCCUGGGCGUCACGC